UACGAAGGGGGCUAGCGUUGCUCGGAAUUACUGGGCGUAAAGCGCACGUAGGCGGUCUUUUAAGUCGGGGGUGAAAUCCUGGAGCUCAACUCCAGAACUGCCUUCGAUACUGGAAGACUUGAGUCCGGGAGAGGUGAGUGGAACUGCGAGUGUAGAGGUGAAAUUCGUAGAUAUUCGCAAGAACACCAGUGGCGAAGGCGGCUCACUGGCCCCGUACUGACGCUGAGGUGCGAAAGCGUGGGGAGCAAACAGG
rnacentral:rRNA from 1 species